GCCCGGGUGGUGAAAUCGGUAGACACAAGGGAUUUAAAAUCCCUCGGCGUUCGCGCUGUGUGGGUUCAAGUCCCACUCCGGGUACCA
rnacentral:tRNA from 2 species